UACGAAGGGAGCUAGCGUUGUUCGGAAUUACUGGGCGUAAAGGGCGCGUAGGCGGCCUUGUAAGUUAGAUGUGAAAGCCCCGGGCUUAACCUGGGAACUGCAUUUAAGACUGCAAAGCUUGAGGACGAGAGAGGAAAGUGGAAUUGUGAGUGUAGAGGUGAAAUUCGUAGAUAUUCACAAGAACACCAGUGGCGAAGGCGACUUUCUGGCUCGUAUCUGACGCUAAGGCGCGAAAGCGUGGGGAGCAAAC
rnacentral:rRNA from 1 species